rnacentral:rRNA from 1 species
GACGAACGCUGGCGGCGUGCUUAACACAUGCAAGUCGAACGGAAAGGCCCUGCUUUUGUGGGGUGCUCGAGUGGCGAACGGGUGAGUAACACGUGAGUAACCUGCCCUUGACUUUGGGAUAACUUCAGGAAACUGGGGCUAAUACCGUAUAGGAGCUCCUUCUGCAUGGUGGGGGUUGGACAUUUUCGGCGGUUGGGGAUGGACUCGCGGCUUAUCAGCUUGUUGGUGGGGUAGUGGCUUACCAAGGCUUUGACGGGUAGCCGGCCUGAGAGGGUGACCGGCCACAUUGGGACUGAGAUACGGACCAGACUCGUACGGGAGGCAGCAGUGGGGAAUAUUGCACAAUGGGCGGAAGCCUGAUGCAGCAACGCCGCGUGCGGGAUGACGGCCUUCGGGUUGUAAACCGCUUUAGCCUGUGACGAAGCGUGAGUGACGGUAAUGGGUAAAGAAGCACCGGCUAACUACGUG